rnacentral:rRNA from 1 species
AUUGAACGCUGGCGGCAGGCCUAACACAUGCAAGUCGAACGAGUGGCGGACGGGGGAGUAAUGUCUGGGAAACUGCCCGAUGGAGGGGGAUAACUACUGGAAACGGUAGCUAAUACCGCAUACCAUCGGAUGUGCCCAGAUGGGAUUAGCUAGUAGGUGGGGUAACGGCUCACCUAGGCGACGAUCCCUAGCUGGUCUGAGAGGAUGACCAGCCACACAUGAACGGAGUCACGCACCAGACGCCUACGGGAGGCAGCAGUGGGGAAUAUUGCACAAUGGGGGAAAGCCUGAGGCAGCUAUGCCGCGUGUAUGACGAAGGCCUUCGGGUUGUAAAGUACUUUCAGCUGGGAGGCGUUACCCCCCGGAGAAGCACCGGCUAACCCCGUGCAAGCAGCCGCGGUAAUUC